rnacentral:lncRNA from 1 species
CUUGGUAAAGACAUACAACUUCAUAAUAAAAACAGCAACUUAAAAAUGUUUUUAAAGUUAUUUAAGAUUUGUUGCUUGAAAAAAUAUUCUUGUAUAUUUAUUUAGCUAUAUAAAAUGUUGCUCUCUCUAGGGCGAAGAUAUUGACGGCUAUGAAGGUCAUUUUCAUAUUUUUGGAAAUAAAAACAAUCAAGAAAACACAGAAUCUCAAGCCAAGAAGUUGUCGAGGCGAAAACCUUUGGGUGAUUCUGACAUUAUAACUAAAUUUAAUAACGUCUAAACAGAUACAAUCCUGUUUAAAUUCAAGUUUAAUUCUGGAUGGAGGUCGAUCAUAAUUGGAUUUUGGAACUGAAUAAUAUGCGUUUCACAUUUUGGAUGACGAUGAUGUUCGAGCCUCACUCAACUUAAUAUAACCUAGUCUUUGGGGCACUGAAGGUUCCCGUGGAUUAAUAUAUGAAUUCAACAAAACAAGCUCACUAUUUUGAUAUUUUGACUUUAAUAUAAGUGACAAAUGGAUGGCAUGUUGAACUCAUGGACUAUAUAUUUAAUAAUAAUUAUAUUUAUGUAUCCUCUAUAAUCAAUUAAUUCAUGUUGCAAGAAUACCUUGUCCCGAAUAUCGACUAAAUGUCUGAAUUGUUGAUGAACCUUUGUCACUCCAACUCUACUCUUGAAUUAAUAUCCAGCUCAAGCCCUUGUAAACGAUUAUUUUCCAAGAGACUAAUUCAUUUCGGGAUAUAACUUUAAAACUGGAGUCCGACUCAUAAAAGAAUGAUUAAACUAUUUCAAGAGUAAUUUUUAUAAGUAUAUCUGUCGUAUUGGUACAAUCCAAAUUUGUAUCAAUGACUCGAUUCAAUCGGUGGAAAUGUAUAAGUUGCUCCCUACGACAUUUAUUCAAAUACUUUCCAUCACCAAUGAAAAGCCCAAUGGUCUUAUUAGAAGAACGAAUGAUACGGGCAAUUGUUACAUUCGGAUGACUAGAAGUAGAAUGAUGUGUCUAUGUUCAUUAUAUAGUUUGAUAAUUCAUGAAUUUAAAAUAAAAAGUUGUCGAAAUAUGAGUAAGAAAUUAUAUAAUGAAGAUGGGUUGGUUUUAUUAUAAUAAAAGACCUAGAGAGCCAGGACAAUAGUUCCUUAUUGAGAAUGAUGAUAUAAUCAAAUGAAUGUGCUAUUAACUCAAUAGAUUCCAUGUUUUUCCACAUCUUAUCCAAUGGGGAAAUGGAGUAUUUAAAGUAGAUUCAUUCAGGAGGAAUGACUCAACUAUUCUUUGACUCCAAUAAUUAAAGCUGCAUUAUUAAAUCAUAUAUUUGAGAGUUUAUUUUAAUAUUGCGUCUACCUCAAACUUUGAGUUCCAAGAAUGACUAAAUCCUUUUGAACCAUAUCCUUGAAUUUUUUGCAAACUUCAUAAUGAAUAUUCGGUCCUUCAACACUUUGCCUCUUUGAGAAUAAUAUUUUUUUUAAAAAU